rnacentral:RNase_P_RNA from 1 species
AACCCCGCCUGGAGCAAGGCCAAAUAGGAAUCCUUUGCUGUGGCCCACAGUGGAUUCGGGUAGGCUGCUAGAGGCUUGCGGUGACGCAGGUCCCAGAUGAAUGGUCGUCCAAGACAGAACCCGGCUUAUCGGCCGACUCAACUU